AUGCUAGCUUCGGCAGCACAUAUACUGAAAUUGGAACAAUGCAGAGAAGAAUAGCAUGGCCCCUGCACAAGGAUGACAUGCAAAUCCAUGAAUCAUUCCAUAUUUUU
ensembl:snRNA U6 U6 spliceosomal RNA